GACGAACGCUGGCGGCGUGCUUAACACAUGCCAGUCGAACGAAGAGCGACGGAAGCUUGCUUCUAUCAAUCUUAGUGGCGCACGGGUGAGUAACGCGUAAUCAACCUGCCCUUCAGAGGGGGACAACAGUUGGAAACGACUGCUAAUACCGCAUACGAUCUAAUCUCGGCAUCGAGGAUGGAUGAAAGGUGGCCUCUACAUGUAAGCUAUCACUGAAGGAGGGGAUUGCGUCUGAUUAGCUAGUUGGAGGGGUAACGGCCCAACAAGGCGAUGAUCAGUAGCCGGUCUGAGAGGAUGAACGGCCACAUUGGGACUGAGACACGGCCCAGGCUCCUACGGGGGGCAGCAGUGGGGAAUCUUCCGCAAUGGACGAAAGUCUGACGGAGCAACGCCGCGUGAGUGAUGACGGCCUUCGGGUUGUAAAGCUCUGUUAAUCGGGACGAAAGGCCUUCUUGCGAAUAGUGAGAAGGAUUGACGGUACCGGAAUAGAAAGCCACGGCUAACUACGUG
rnacentral:rRNA from 1 species